GACGAACGCUGGCGGCGUGCUUAACACAUGCAAGUCGAGCGGUAAGGCCCUUUCGGGGGUACACGAGCGGCGAACGGGUGAGUAACACGUGGGUGACCUGCCCUCAGCUCUGGGAUAAGCCUGGGAAACCGGGUCUAAUACUGGAUAUGACUCCAUGACGCAUGUUGUGGGGUGGAAAGCCUUGUGCGGCUGAGGAUGGGCCCGCGGCCUAUCAGCUUGUUGGUGGGGUGAUGGCCUACCAAGGCGACGACGGGUAGCCGGCCUGAGAGGGCGACCGGCCACACUGGGACUGAGACACGGCCCAGACUCCUAC
rnacentral:rRNA from 1 species